rnacentral:rRNA from 1 species
AUUGAACGCUGGCGGCAGGCCUAACACAUGCAAGUCGAACGACAGGAGGAGGGGCGAGUAAUGUCUGAGCAACUGCAUGAUGGAGGGGGAUAACUGCUGGAAACGGUAGCUACUACCGCCUACCAUCCGAUCUUCCCAGAUUGGAUUAGCUAGUAGGUGGGGUAAAGGCUCACCUAGGCGCCGAUCCCUAGCUGGUCUGCGAGGAUGACCAGCAACACUGGAACGGAGACACGGCCCAGAAUCCUACGGGAGGCAGCAGUGGGGAAUAUUGCACAAUGGGCGCAAGCCUGAUGCAGCCAUGCCGCGUGUAUGAAGAAGGCUUUCGGGUUGUAAAGUACUUUCAGCGGGGAGGCGUUACCCUCAGAAGAAGCACCGGCUAACUCCGUGCCAGCAGCCGCGGUAAUUC